rnacentral:rRNA from 1 species
ACGUUGGCGGCGUGGAUUAGGCAUGCAAGUCGAGCGAGAAGUUUUAAAAAGAUACUUCGGUUGAUUUUUAAAACGGACAGCGGCGAAAGGGAGAGUAACGAGUAGAUACGUAC